UCUGGUAACUUUCUGACCCUCCUCCACAUUCUUUUUACUGGUCACAUCUGGUCAUUGGUGGAAAAAAUACAAAAACAAAGCUAGUUCUCAUCUUAGGUGCUUUGGGUUGAGAUUAUUUCUGCUCCGUUUUUUAAAAAUUUUAAUCUAUUUCAGCCAGUGACAAUGAGGACAUGCCUCAAAACUUUAAGAAUACCUCAGGAUUGAGGUUUUCCAAGUUACAAAUUACCCAGUUGAGACUAAGGAUUCUUACUGUUUCAAUUUGAUUUUAUCUUCUUGGUUGACAGGUAGGUUGGAGCACUUACUCAGAAGCUCUGGCAUAUAGGAAGCUCCCAGCACAGGGAACUUUAGAAAACUCAUAAAUGCAGGUCUCCAGAUGCCAGAAGAUUAAACAAAUGCCAGCUUCACAAGGCCAUGCUUUUCCAGCAAAAGAGAGAUGCAAUGUAAACAAAAAACUUGUAGGUAAAAAUAAAAUUUUGGAACAGAAAGAGGACACAAAAUAAGGAUUUAAGGCUGACAGAAUGGGAGGAGAAAAAAACAAGAAUUCAAUAUACCAACCAAGCAAAAAGGCUGCAG
rnacentral:lncRNA from 1 species